GGAAAAGCAAUAAAAGGGAUGGAUGAAAGAUAUGGUCAUUUAAAGUGAGCAAUGUUAGAAGGAUGGAGGCAUUUGAGAUGUGGUUCUAGAAAAUAAUGGAUUGCAUAGACAUAUGCAAACCUAAGAACAGGUGUUAACUUCCAGUCACUCAAUCCUAUGGUUCCGUGAACUAGAAGAGGCAGUUCCAUAAAAAGUCGAAGAAAAUACUCUUGAUAGUUUCCAUCUUUAACACAUGAUGACAGUUGUGGACGAGGUUUAUCAUGCCAACGCUGGCGAACGUUUCGUAAAAAUCUUAGGCAACCUAACCAUGUAGAGUCGGAUACUUUAUUGAAAUGAUUAAAGAAUUCAGGAUCGAUACGGUCCAUCCAACCUA